rnacentral:piRNA from 1 species
UAUAAUCAAAAAAAAAACAGU